AUUCGCCGGCUCCGUCUUCGUCUCCAGUCGAUCGACGAGCAGACCCGCCGGAGCUCCACCACGCCUCCUUCGCCAGGCAGCCACGGCGCUCACCGGAUACUCACGCCGGCCUCCUCCGUCUUGCGCCCACCGUCCAGCACCGGCAUCCUCGGUGAAUCCGGCAGUAGAGAGGAGGCAUCGCCUCCUUCUCCCUCUCUCAGCCGCGGCCUGCAGCUGCUCCGCUCGCUCGUCGCCCGGCAGCCCCUCCGCCUAAGCUAAGUCACCUUCUAUUUUCUCCUUUACUCAAUUUCUUUAAUUUCUAGCUGAUUGGUGAUUGAUGGUAUUUCGUAUGAUCUUGUUGGAGUAUUUAAAUUCCAUGAUCCAAUUUUUUUGAGUGCUCACUGGAAAGAUCUUUGGCUAUGGUAUUAAAGUUCUAAUUUUUCAUUUGGGGCUUUUAGCUCAUUGUGAAGACUUGAUGGUUCUUGCUACUGAUCCAUACUUGAUUGUGAGGAUCCUAUGGAAGUUCUAAGUUCUUGUGCUAUCUAUAUUUGUUGUUCUACAUGAUGCAAAGGUUAUUGGGUGUUGAGGUUGUUACCUCACUUUGAUGAAUCCUCUCGGAUGGGGACCGAUGUCCUGUCUCAGAAUCUCCUCCUUGCUCCUCCUCCCUUCCUUGCUGUAUUGCUUGACUUUAUGUGAGUUUGGGGUGUCGAUUUUGUGGGGAGGAGAAGGGAGAUGAGGCUGCUUAUAUAGUGCUCUAUUCCUUGGCUGUUUGUGCUUGAAACUUGGAGGCAAAGGCUCCUAUUUUGGGGCUGCCAGCUCCAUCUCUUUUGAGCUUGAUGUUCAUGUUAUUUUUACUACUUUGGUGUAAGUUUUGGCACACUAGCUUGGCUGACCUCAUGGAUCUCCGCAAGUUUCCUCUUUUAGUGCCCUCAAAUGAGCUCAUAUUCUUGUCCCAAUUGUCUCUUUUCUUAAUUGGGAGAUUUAGAAAUCUUGACUCUAUCCAAUCCUUAGUCUUGGCAGAGACUUGAUUCUCUUAAUCCAUAAUUGUUCACUAUUUUCUUGGUUUACUUUUGAUUAUUGUCUUACUCAUGGUACCAGAGGAAUAAGGGGUACAACUGCACCCCCAAAAUUUUAAACUAACUAUAUUGAAAUCUUGUUUGACAUGGUAUAUGUAAUCUAAAUGGUUCAGUGGUUGGAGUCUUCAAUGGUUGUGCCACCUUGGAGCCUUGCAGGCUGCAUAUUCGAGGGGGAGAGGAUGGAGUAAUGGAAAGGGAAUCUAUUCUUGUAGCUCUUUGGUUCAUAUACCAAUUUAGACUAUUUCCAAACUUGUUGACUAGAGUAGUAGGAUGAUAGGUGUGUCUGUUGUCACUCUCACAUUUGUAACUUGUAAGCAUGUGCUAUUUCCAUCAUUCUUGUAUAACUUAUUCCUCAAAUAUUUAUCUAAUUGAACACAUAAUUUCCUUGCA